rnacentral:rRNA from 2 species
GGAUGCGAUCAUACCAGCACUAAAGCACCGGAUCCCAUCAAAACUCCGAAGUUAAGCGUGCUUGGGCGAGGGUAGUACUAGGAUGGGUGACCUCCUCGGAAGUCCUCGUGUUGCAUUCC